rnacentral:rRNA from 1 species
AUUGAACGCUGGCGGCAGGCCUAACACAUGCAAGUCGAGCGAGAGGCGGACAGGGGAGUAAUGUCUGGGAAACUGCCUGAUGGAGGGGGAUAACAACUGGAAACGAUAGCUAAUACCGCGUACCAUCCGAUUUGCCCAGAUGGGAGUAGCUAGUAGGGGGGGUAACGGCUCACCUAGGCGACGAUACCUAGCUGGUCUGAGAGGAUGAGCAGCAACACUGGAACGAGGACACGGUCCAGACUCCUACGGGAGGCAGCAGUAGGGAAUAUUGCACAAUGGGCGCAAGCCUGAUCCAGCCAUGCCGCGUGUGUGAAGAAGGCCUUCGGGUUGUAAAGCACUUUCAGCGGAGAGGCGUUACCCACAGAAAAAGCAACGGCUAACUCCGUGCCAGCAGCCGCGGUAAUAC